rnacentral:lncRNA from 1 species
GGGGCGAAGGAGAGGCGUUGUGGAUGCUCUUAGUUAAGUAUAGUCAAAAUCUAUAUAAUCUAUAUAAUAUAUAAAAGAGGAGUUUUCUCCCUUCAUUUCUUCCCUCCAUUUUUUUUCUGUCUCUUCUGCCAUCAAUUUUUUUUUCUCUUUUUUUAUUUUUAUUUCCUAAAUAUUGUCAAAUUUGAUAUAUGAAGAAAAUUUCAAUAUGGUAUAAAAA